rnacentral:rRNA from 1 species
GAUGAACGCUAGCGGCAGGCUUAAUACAUGCAAGUCGAGGGGCAGCAUGAGUGUAGCAAUACAUUUGAUGGCGACCGGCAAACGGGUGCGGAACACGUACACAACCUUCCUAUAAGUGGGGAAUAGCCCCAGAGAAAUUUGGAUUAAUACCCCGUAACAUAAUGAUGUGGCAUCACAUUAUUAUUAUAGCUUCGGCGCUUAUUGAUGGGUGUGCGGCUGAUUAGAUAGUUGGCGGGGUAACGGGCCCACCAAGUCUACGAUCAGUAGCUGAUGUGAGAGCAUGAUCAGCCACACGGGCACUGAGACACGGGCCCGACUCCUACGGGAGGCAGCAGUAAGGAAUAUUGGUCAAUGGACGCAAGUCUGAACCAGCCAUGCCGCGUGAAGGAUGAAGGCCCUAGGGUUGUAAAG